UCUUUGAGGCCUUUGGUGGGCGUAGGUCUGGUACACGUGUUUUAGAAAUUGUGACUAGAUCUACACUCAUCAAGGGAACCGAGGA
rfam:Zootermopsis nevadensis contig9008, whole genome shotgun sequence.